UGGAGAGGAGCAGAGAAAGUGGUAGAGAGAUCACGGGGGGGGGGGGGGGGCGGUAGAGGUGAUCGAGAGAGACAGGGAUGUGGUGACGCAAACAGAGGAGGAGAGAGGCAACAUGAAGUGGGGCAAUGGAAGGGGCAACAGAGAGUGGGGCAAUGGGAUAUGUGACAGAGAAUGGGACAAUGGGAGAGGUGACACAGUGAGGCAAUGGGAGAGGUGACCGAAGGAGUCAAAAGAGGGAAACAGAAGAUGAAAUGCAGACCCGAACUACACAUUUCUUCCAGAACCAAGUAAUCUCUUCCCCUGCUUUACUUUGUAGUUGUGCAGUAAUCAAAUAAUAAAUGAUUCAUAAAAUGAAAUAAAAUGCUUGACGCUC